GCCCCCAUCGUCKAGWGGUUCAGGACAUCUCUCUUUCAAGGAGGCAGCGGGGAUUCGACUUCCCCUGGGGGUA
rnacentral:tRNA from 1 species